UAUUAAAAAUUUCAUCAAUUUCUACUGUUAGAAACUAGCUUAGCUGAUGGAAUAAUCAGAUGGUUACACAUGGCAUGCCAUUGUACCUCAUGCUAACAUGUAGGGACCAGUUUUUAACAUUAGAAAUGGACAAAUUUUUUAACA
rfam:Gossypium hirsutum cultivar TM-1 chromosome 13, whole genome shotgun sequence